rnacentral:rRNA from 1 species
GACGUAGGGCGCGAGCGUUGUCCGGAUUUAUUGGGCGUAAAGAGCUCGUAGGCGGUUUGUCGCGUCGUUCGUGAAAACCCACGGCUUAACUGUGGGCUUGCGGUCGAUACGGGCAGGCUAGAGUUCGGUAGGGGAGACUGGAAUUCCUGGUGUAGCGGUGAAAUGCGCAGAUAUCAGGAGGAACACCGGUGGCGAAGGCGGGUCUCUGGGCAGUAACUGACGCUGAGGAGCGAAAGCGUGGGUAGCAAACAGG